rnacentral:sRNA from 1 species
AUAUCUCUCUGUACGGGAAGGAUGAGAAGCUUCGACCAAGGUUCGAUUCGAGCGUCAGCGAGAAAGCGUUGCCGCAGGCAACGACCCGAAGGGCGAAGCGCGCAGCGCUGAGUCA